CUACGGGCGGCUGCAGUGAGGAAUAUUGCACAAUGGGGGGAACCCUGAUGCAGCAACGCCGCGUGGAGGAUGACGCAUUUCGGCGUGUAAACUCCUUUUAUAUGUCAAGAAAAUGACGGUAGCAUAUGAAUAAGCACCGGCUAACUCCGUGCCAGCAGCCGCGGUAAUACGGAGGGUGCAAGCGUUACUCGGAAUCACUGGGCGUAAAGGACGCGUAGGCGGGUUGGAAAGUCAGGUGUGAAAUCCUACAUCUUAACUGUAGAACUGCACUUGAAACUUCUAAUCUAGAGUAUGGGAGGGGGAGAUGGAAUUAGUGGUGUAGGGGUAAAAUCCGUAGAUAUCACUAGGAAUACCUAAAGCGAAGGCGAUCUCCUGGAACAUUACUGACGCUAAGGCGUGAAAGCGUGGGGAGCAAACAGGAUUAGAUACCCCUGUAGUC
rnacentral:rRNA from 1 species